UUUCUCGGGUAUUUAAACCCCCGAAAGGAGAGCAGACCAGCAGCUGAGCUGAGAGCAAGCAGCGCAUCACUUCUCCUGCAGAUCAAGAAACCUCAUCAAGAGUUCCUCAGACUUGAAGAUGUCAGCCCUCAACAGAGAGAUUGUGCAAAAGGGCCUAGGGAUUGGCAAAGGAGAACCGACUGACACCUCUGACCGACCUGCCAGAGCUUAUGCCGAAGCUGUGUAUGCUGGUGCUGGGAAAAUUAAAGAGGGCGACAAGGAAGGAGCGUACGCUGGUGCAGGGUUAUACCAUGCUUGAGGUGAAUGGCGUGGGUUUGAUGCUGAGGCAAGUGGACCCAACGCCAGCGCAGGAUACCAAUUCUCUAAUGAGUCUGCUAAAGUCAUGACCAAAGCAGAGGUGGUCAGUGCUUCAGCCUCUGCUGGUCCUGCCAAAGCUACAGUCGGUCUGGCACUCGAUACUGGAGUUGGAGUCGGGAAGUCCGGCAUAGAAGCAAAGGUUCUGGGGACGGGCUUCUCCAUUGGUCGCAAAACUGGCAUUUCACUGUUUGGUACUGGGUUUGAAAUUGAUUUGGAAAGUGGUGACUCUGUAACAGAAACAGCUCUGUGUGAUUUUUAUCGUCCUGGCGAUUGUUCCAACAAUAAAAUCACUUCCCUUGUAUCAAAGUUGAAUUUUUUAUAUUCUGA